rnacentral:lncRNA from 1 species
CUUUUAUUACUUCAAUUUAUUUUGUUUUAGGUAUAUGAAACCACCCUAUAUUAUAAAAUUACACCACAUUAUUUCAACAAGCCAGUGAAGUAUCGGCGAAAACAUUUUAACAAGAGAGAUUUGGGCCAGGAGCAACACCAAAUUUGUUGCAAUAAUCCUUAUAAUAUCCAAUGCGAGCUUGAACCUGAGCAGGUUGCUUGCCACCGCAUUCAACGGCACCAUUGAUUCUCUGAAUUGUUGCACCAAAACCUUGGUUCAUAACUGGGUGCACAUUGGUCAUCCAAAACCACAAGGCAGUCUUAAAUGACACAACGGGGUCCUUGGCCACCGUUUCCGGAGCUCUUAAUCCGUCAAACCCGAUGGCUUUUCCGGCAGCUCCGUAGUUUCCAUUUCCGGUGAGUUGGAUCGGUCCACGGCCGUAGUAGAACUUUCCGGGAACACAUGGGUACUGUUUGUUUUGUUCAUCACAGUACCGGUUGGACUUGUUAAUCUCUUCUAUGUAGCACAAAUCUGAAAAAGCCAGACAUUUUUUUUUCUAAUUAAUUCUCUCCGGGCUUAAUCAAGAUAAUUGGCUAGUGGCAAAUCAUAUCAAUUAAAAGUUGGAGUAUUCAAUUAGUUUUAUUGAAAACUUUUAUGUGUUCAACAAACUGAGAACAUUAUUUAAUACAUAUAAAGCAUGUAAUUAAAAAGAUUAUGUUCAUUCCAACCUUAUAUAUAUUUCUAGUAGUGAACAAAUAUGGGCCCUUCGAUUUGAAAUUCAACUUCAACCUUUUGCUUUUUUUUUCUGGGGCGGCGGGGGGGCGGGGGGGAUAUAGUUUUAAAAAAUUUCAAAAACGGUUUUGAAAAUAAUAAAACAAAGAAAAGUCGUUUUCUUCUCUAUGCAUGGAUUGCUCAUAAAUACUUUGCAUGCAAAAAGAAAUAAAAUGGAGAGAACUUACGUCCAGUUUCAUGAGUGACGUGUGCAAAAAAUGCAGCAAUCUCACGCUUCGAAACUUCAGGAGAGCCGCUACCAAAUUGAGGAUAAGCCUUGGCAGCAUUCAGAAACGCAUCUCUCGUGUAGAAGCUCUUGCCGGCACAACUCGCGGCUGCCUGAUUCUUUAUGCCGUCGAAGAACUGGGGAGUCACAAUGCUAGCAACAUUUUGACACAUUACUUUGGUGGGAAAAGCUAGGGCAAGAAUGCCCACAAGAGCAAAGGUUACAAUAUUUUUUUUCAUGUUAAGUGGAGCCAUUUUGUUUAGGAGUAGAGAAAUGUGAGUGAUAUGCAAAUGUUGGUGAUGGGAGUACGGUAUUUAUAGAGUGCAAAAUGGACGUUAUGUCUGCCACGUGCUGGUGAAUUGUGAUAAAUUUGAACAUAGAGUUUAUCUCUUGUUAGGUUUUUCUAGACUUCGCAUUUGUUGUGGCUUGAAAUCUAGCUGGCUUGACUUGUCAAAAGAACUAGAAAUAAAAUAAAAGAAAAUAAAUCAAAUCUUUCGAGUGGGUUGUUGAUUGACCGCCAUCUAUAUUAAACUUUUUCAAAUUAAAUUUGAAUAAUAAUUGUACAAAAUAUAAUUUUAAAUAACUAAUUUUCAAUAAAUUUUGAGGAAAUUUGUUUUUUAAUGUAACUGAAUUAAUUGUAGAUUGGAAAAUCUUAAACUCAUACUUGUUUCGAGCUUUCAGAUAUUGAAACUCAGACAUGUUUAUUUUUAAUUAUCUACCUACUUUGUUUAUAUAUAUACACAUGCACUAGACUUUACACAAAUUUUAACAAAAAAAUAUGUGGUUUGUACUCAUUUGAGUGAUUUAAAUUUUUUUAGGUUUGUUAAUUAAUAACUAAUAACAUGGUAUCAUAUUUUCUCAGCUAAAUACUUAUUUGGUCUGUGUAUUUUUCAGUUAAGUAUCCAUUUAAUCUCUUUAUUUUAGAAAAUAUUUCAAGACAUCUUUACUGGUAAAUAUAUUACAUUCCUACCCUGAUCUUUUCUUUGAUUUUAGAAUAAUACCCUUACAAUAAUAUUGUUGGAGAUUCAAUGAAAAGAAAAAAAAAAUGAAUUUAUCAAAUUAGUCUUAAAAGUAAGAUAAAAAUUACUCUAUCUAUUUUUUGUUAUCUUAAUUUUAGGAUUAAUUUGNNNNNNNNNNNNNNNNNNNNNNNNNNNNNNNNNNNNNNNNNNNNNNNNNNNNNNNNNNNNNNNNNNNNNNNNNNNNNNNNNNNNNNNNNNNNNNNNNNNNUUAGCUUAAACAUUGCUUUAAAUUAGUUGGUUUUAAUUUAUCAUAAAUGGUUACUAGUUGUUGUAGAAUGAUAUUUAUUUCUAAUUUUCUAAUAUAUUGGUUAAUAUGCUAUUUAUUUUUUUAGAUAAAAAAUUAAUGCCAAAAAUAUUAUUGUUAGUAUUGUUGUAAAAGGUAAGAAAAAAAUAAGAGGAAGAUCGUAACAUAUUUAAAAUAGGAUGUCUUUACAUUUUUUUUUAAAAUAUGUGGACAAAAAAGAUAUUUAAAUUAAAAUAUAGGAUAUAUACCCUAAUUUCUUUAUAACUUAAUUUCCUUUCUUUCCUUAAUUCUUUUUCCUUUUUUUAGUGAUAUCAGUUAUCACAAUGUAAAAAUUAAUAAUCAGUCCAAACAUCUGAGUUUUUUUUAAUAUUUUCCGUUUAUAAAUACUGAAAUAUUUAUGUAUAUCUUCGAAACUGAAAAGUCAAGCCUUCCACUAACUCCCGUUCUCAAUUAGCGGCGUAAAUUUGGGUCCAUGAAAUGAAAGCAAUUCUUCUUGUACCCUUUUCUCCACACUAGUUCUUCUCGUUCUCUUCUCGGCAUUGAUAUUCUGGUGUGUCACUAAUCAAUUUAAUAUCUCAAAAUAUUUUGGUGACGUCCUAAUGUAUACAAACUUUCAUUCUCAAGUACAAGGGUUUCAUCUGUUUUAAUAAAAUCAAUAUUUAAUAUAUUAUAAAAUCAUGUAAUUUAAUAAUAUGUUUGUACUAAUUUUAUUAAAUCAUAUGACUCAAUAACGUGGCAUAUGAAAUAAACAAUAAGCUGUCCACAUGAAAAAAAAAAGUUUAUAUAUAUACUUAUAAAAUUAAUUAGAAAAUAUCCUUAUUAAAAAUCUAACCGAUCAAAGGAGCUUCUAAAACUUUCACGUAGGAUAAGUUGUCUUUUUCCAUACAAAUACUUAAAAACUUUUUUCUGAUACAAACCCCAACAUAUGAUUAUGGCCAUAGAAAAUUUGAAAAUUUUGUCCCAAAAAAAAACUUGAAAGAAAAGCUUAAAACUAAUAACGAAAAAUAGGAUAAAUUAAUCAAACACAUGAUGACCAAUUUUGCAUUAAUCUAUUUGUGAUAGCCAAUUUUAAUCAAAAUAAAUAUAUCUGCAAUCGGAAAAAUAACUUUUUUUUUUUUACUUCGAUAUUAGAAACAGGCAGCCACUGAUUGGGACCAUCAAGUAUACAAGUUUACAACGGUACGAAACUUGUUUCGAUUGCAUUCGGCUGCCCGAAAAACGGGAAAAAAAGAAAACAGAUUUUCUUUGUAAUGUCGGUAGCAUGUUCUUUUGACAAGUUUAAUAAAAGAUUCAAAGAAAAUCUAUGACUUUUUACUCAAAACUUUCCACCUGGGGAGAUGAAAACUGCACAGUUAAAGCAUCAAACACAUUGUUCAUGAAUCAUGAUCAAAGGAAAAAAAAUUUCUGAGCUGGAUUGAAAACAUCAAAAUCAGUAUUCAUAAAUCAUGAUAAGAAGAUAAAAGUUCUCUUUGUCGGAUAAGAAACAUUAGCUUUUCAGAAUUUUUUUUUUUUUUAAAAUGAACUUAGAAGGAUUCCAAGUGUCCCUUUUACUAAUUUAUAAAUAGGGUAAUUUGCCCUUAUUUGUAUGAAAAGCCAACCACAUCCUCCUGACAAAAAAAAAAAAAAGGGGCAAAAAGCCAACCUCAUCCGUCGAAUCAGCCAGUAAUUUUUUACACGUGUACAAUUUUUGGGAUUUCUUAACACAUGCUGUUUGGAAAGCAUCUCGUAUCGCCCAAAAUAAAAAGUGCAUAAUUUUCUUUUUUUCAAAGGUUCUUUUAUAAAUGAUAUCGGUCAAUGGAAUUAUUGUUUUGCUCUAAUUUUUUAUUAGGCUCUUCUCUUGGGAUUUUUGUCCUUCAUUCUAAGCCUUCUGACAAAUCACAAUUGGGGCUACUUUGAAUGAUAAAGCUUGCUGGACUUAUGACUAGGCUCCUUUUGGUAUGUCAUUUCAUUUGAAUAUGUAAUUUCUUUAAUUACGUUUGAAAAGGAAAAAUAUGACAAGAAAGAGGAGUACACUAUAAUAGUUGUCUGAGUCUGAUAAUGGACUGUACAGUGCUUACCUUGAUAGAACUCAGUGCACAAAGUAGUUGAGCAUACAUAACAAAAUCCCCAAACUUUACUCCGUUGCCAAACAUGUCUAAGUUAAAUUUACUCUAUUAUAAAAAAGUCUUGGGCGUUGGGUGUUUUAGGAGCACCACAUCAUUCACAUUCACAUUAUAAUAUUUGAGCAAAAGAAAAUUGCCUAAAAUAUGUAUGAUUAUCUGCAGGCUUUAAGUUUUAUCCAAUUAAAGAAUUGAAUGUUCAUCAUUUAUCAAAUUAAUAACUAGUUUUUAAAGAAAUUAUGGCUCUAAAGUAUUUCCAGUUUUCUUUAAUUUCAUAGACGAGUCAAUUAACAACAAAAAUAAUCCAUUAAUUUAUGGCAGACGAGAACAAUAUUUCAAUUGCAAAUCAACCUGAAAGUUGUUUACAAACAUAUCAUAAUCUAUAGGAACAAAUCAGUUAUAUAUAUAUAUAUAUAUAUCUUAUGGCAAAAAAAAAACAUACAAAUUAACUUUAUUCUUGAUUUUUUUCUACACGACAAUAGUUGUUUACAAUUGUAUGAUUCUGGCUGAUGGAGGUAUAAACCACAAAUCAUGUGAUUAGUAAUUAGUUCUUUCAACUAUUGUUCAAGCAAUAAAGAGUCCCAUUUCAUGGCCAAGAUUGCACGUCAACCAGAAAAAGACAUGAUCUUAAAUGAUAUAACAAAAUAAAUAUGUAGUAAUUUCACUUACAAACUAAGGGUAUUUUUUACUUUCCUCCAUUGAUUAUUCAAAAAAACUUCCGCUGACCUGAAAACAUUUUUUACCAUAACAGUUGUGUGGCUGUUUAGUGGACCUUGAGGCGUUCCAUAGGACAUCCACUGAUUCCAAAUAAAAAACGCACCCUUUGUUGAGUCCGGCCCAAUACAUCUUUUGUCAUCUACAAUAAAUUAUUUUACAAUUUAUGUUUAUGAUUUUUGGACUUAAUAACAGCGGUUCAUUGACAAUCUACUUUAACAGUAAGGGAACCUAUUUUUAGGUUGCAAAACUUGCAGCAAUAAAUUAGCUUCCCCAAAAGAGAAAUAAAGAUUUCACAUUCUAAUUAAAUAUCAAGGAAAUUAAUUAAUUGUGCUCCAUUAUUCCAACUUCCGAGAUCAGUACAUCAAAAUUGAACAUUAAUAAUUAAAUUGUUCAAAACUUGUUUCGAUAAGCUAGCUAGUUCCCAAAUGGAAGUAUAAGAUUUCACUUCCUUAGAUAGACACGAUAAUCUUUCACUAUAAAUUUAAAUUAAACCUUAUUAAAGGUCUUGAAUUCAUUGUACGCACAUAGUUUGAACCUCAUAUAGACCACCAACGUAACCAUGAAGAAAACUAUCUUCUAUAAAAGAUUUUCCCACCAAAGCUGAACAAGUAUCAGAUUUAGGGUUAGGAUUAGGAUUUGUCAACAUUUAGAAAUUUGGAUUUAGAUUCAGGAUUUGGCAACAUUCGAAUUUCGGGUUAGGUUUUGGUAGUUUUCCUGUUGUAUUUUAAUGGCUAUUAACAAGAAAUUAAUCAACUCACACAACUUUGAUCAAUUAAAGACAGAAUGGAAUCAAGAACAGAAAAUGAUUCAGUCAAACAAGAACCUAGAAAACUAUUCACAGUGAACAAGCUUCCAAGUUUCAAAGGAAAAAUGAACAAGAUCUCAUUACUCAAAUGCUUUACAAUCAGAUCAAUUGUUUUGAGGACACUUCAAGGAUUCCAAAGAAUCUAGAAUCACCUUUUUUAGCUAAGAAACAAAAGAGAAAUCACACACAAAGCAAUGCACAGCAGGCCCUUUCAUAUUUUGGAAAUUUUCUAGAAACACCUUAACAACCUUUAACCUUUUUGCCACAUUAGCGCAGAAUUUACAAAUUGACUCCUCAUUUGAAGUCGAUUUGCACAUUACCCAACAACUUUCAUUCGAUUACAUUUUAGUCCAAAAACAUAACUCAUGUCCUCACACUCUCCACCUUGCAGAUCUGAUUCAGCAUUACUCUUGACCAUAAGUGCUUUAAAAAAAAAACCUUCAACCACGCAACUUAACAACUAGAACCAUUUCCAAUACCAAUCAAGUCUACACAAAUCUUAAAUUUGGCUGUUGGAAUUACUUCUGUUAACAUAUCAGUAGGGUUGAUAUCUGUAUAUAUUUUUGUUACUACAACAAACCCUUUUGCGACCUCAUCUCUGAUAAAGUGCAACUUCAUAUCAAUGUGUUUGGUUCUCCCACGAUAAAUUUCAUUUUUUAUAAGCUGAAUCGCACUCUAAUUAUCACAAAAGAUCUAAAUUGUCUUUUGUUUCAACCAAAAUUCAUUCAGUAGCCUUCUCGGCCACAAUGAUUCUUUUACUGCCUCUAUUGCAGCAAAAAUUCAGCCUCAGUAGAUAACAAAGCUACUAUGUGUUGUAAAGUAAGUUUCCAACUUAUGAGACAAUUUUCUAGCAUGAACAGGUAUCCAGAGAUAGAAUUUCUCCUAUCUAAGUCACCUGCAAAAUUAGAGUCCACAUAGCCUCUAACUUCAUAGACUUCUUGCUUGGAUUUGCCAUACACCAGACCAUGAUCUAAAGUACGUUUCAAGUACCUCAUAACCCAUUUCAUAGCAUCCUAAUAAAGCUUAUCAGGAUUACUCAUAAACCUGCUUACUACACUUACUGCAUAAGCUAUGUCUGCUCUGGUGCAAGCCAUUGCAUACAUUAAGCUUCCUACAGCCAGUAAAUAUAGAAUUUCUUAGCAUAUGAUAUUGGAGACAUAUCAUUAGAGAGUUUAAAUUGAGCUCCCAAAAGUGUCAUUACAGGUUUUGAAUCCAUCAUAAUAUACUUUUCUAACUCCUUACUGACAUAUCUUGAUUGGCUUAGAAACAAAGUACCAACAACUCUAUCUCUAAGAAUAUCCAUAACAAGGAUCAUCUUAGCACUGCCAAGAUCUUUCAUUUCAAAUUCCCCCUUUAAUAAAUUCUUAAGUUUCUCAAUAUCACUAGAAUUUUUACCAACAAUGAGUAUAUCAUCAACAUACAACAAAAGAUACAUAGCUCCACCUGAGCUUAUGUUCCUAUGAUAGACAUGUUGUACAAAUUUUAUUGAACUCGCAAGUGCACGAAUCUAUUUUAGAAUAGAUCAAUGGUGACAAGUGUCGAUCCCACGAGGAGGUGGAUUUUAAUUGUGUGUAGAAUUAAUUUUUCUAAAUGGGUGGUUGGAAUUAUGGUAAAGAUGAUUUGGAAUAUCUUAAAAUUUAAAUUGAAAUGGCAGAAUUAAAUUAAAAUGGAAACUAUAAUAAUUGAAGCGCUUGGGUAUCUAGAUCCGCAUCAACAUGCACCAUGGGCUAAAUAUUUCUUAUUAAUGCCAAUUAAAUCAUGAGGGGGGAAUCCACACCUCAUGAACCACACUCUAAUCAAUAUGGUGCUAAGAGCUUAUCGUACCAAAUAAUAAUAACUUUGUACUAGGGAGCCGGUAAAAUCAGUGCGGUAUCUAGACAAGAUUAUUAUUAUUUGUCGACGAAAAGUCAAAACAUCCACAAAAAUUAGAGGUGAAGAGAAAAUAAAUUUACCAAAUAAAGCCCAUGACAUAUGUUGAGACUUCACCUUCAACCCAAGCUUGAAAGAAAAUUAACUACUCAUAAUUGAACUAGGAGCAAAAUAAGAAUUUAUUAAAAUACGUAGAAAAUACAAGAUGGAGAAGGAAUUAUAGAAAAUGGAACUUAAAAUUGAAUUCAGAGAUAUCAAAAUAGGGGGGAGAGGUCCUAUUUUUAUAGAUACAUUGAGUAAACAAUGGCUAUCGAAUUAAAAACAGUUUGAACGCUCAGGAUUGCGCCACGUCAUCAGUCAACAGUACGCAGUUUGACCACGCGGUUUGAACAGUGAUACGGUUUGACCACACGGUUUGAACAGUCAACUGGUUUGAAUAGUGACACGGUUUGGUUGAAAAUAAUCCUGUGUAUAUGCAUGUACUGUACGCGCGAUUUUUAGUCCACUGAUAUGCUGCCGCGUCACCAAUCAACAGUGCAUAAGAAUUUUCUCCAAUGGAAUCGUGUCACCUCGUCAGUCAAUGCCACAUCAUCGGUCAAUGCCACGUCAUUGAUCCGUCUAUGUGAACAGUGUCGUGAACAGUAACGUAAACAAUACCGUACAUGUGAAUAAUAUCGUACAUGUGAACAAUGAUAUUUUUCCUUUUAUGCUCCUCCUAAGGUUUUCGACUGUCCUGAGUUCAAAAGUGAUGUCCGUUUUGCCGUCUGAUCUCUAGUUCAUUGUGAAAUGACCAUGAUGUCCCUAAAAUACAUAAAAUACUUAAUUAAAAUAAAACAUAUAUAAUUGAAUCACAAGAAACUUAAAAUACAUAAAAGUAAGGGUGUUAAUAAGACUUGAAAUGUAAAAUGACGAUUUUCUCCUUUAUAAAUAUAUAUUUUCUAACACUCAACAAGAUACAAUUAUCAUAUGUGCUCUUGUAAUAGCCAUUAGAGAUCAUAAACUGGUCAAAUCUCUUACAUUGCCUAGGAGACCCUUUCAAGCCAUAUAGAGACUUAUGCAGAAGACAUACAUAAUCCUUAUGUCCCUUUACUUAAAAACCUUCAGGCUGUGACAUUAAUAUCUUUUCUUCAAGAUUAUCAUGUAAGAAGGCAGUCUUUAUAUCCAUUUGUUCAAGCUCUACAUGAAGCAAAGUCACCAUAACAAGUAAGGUUCUAAUUGAUUUGUGUUUUACAGCAUGUGAGAAGAUUUCAUUAAAAUAUACCCCUCAUUUUGAAACCCCUUGCCACAAGUCUUGCCAUAUAUCUUGAGUCUUUAACACAUGGAAUACCCUCAUUCUUCUUGAAUAUCCAUUUGCAGCUGACAAUUUUCCUAUUUCUUGGAUUAGAAACCAAUGUCCAUGUCUGAUUCCUUACCAGAGAAUCCAUCUCUUCCCUUAUUGCUUUAAUCUAGUUAUUGUUGUACUUAGUGCUUUUGCGUAGCUGCUAGGCUUUUCAAUUGAAACAUCCUCUACACUCGUCAAUGCAUAUGCAACUAUGUCUGUAUAUGCAUACCUUUUUGGGGGUAUGAUAUGUCUUCUUUAUAUGUCCAUAUCUAAUUGAUAUUAUUGCAGAUCAGUAACUUGUGGUGCUGCAUCUUCAAUUACUACUGUAUCUUGAGAAUAAUCUUCAACAGCUUCUGGUUGUACUUCAUCUUUAUGAGCACUAGACAACUCUACCUCAAUAUUAACACCUUGAUUAAUGACUCCAGUAGUCAGUGUCUUAUUUACAUUAAUAUCAGUAUCAGAAGUUACUUGAUCAGACUUAUUGAUUACAACAACUUCAUUAAACAGAAUAAAUAAUUAAACACUUAUUAGCUUUUCCACACCAAACUCUGUAGCCUUUAACCCCAUCUAUAUAACGAACAAAUGCUCAUUUGACAGCUUGUGCAUCAAGCUUCCCUUGUCUAAUAUGAACAUACGUAGGAUGCCCAAAUACCCUGAGAUAUUUAUAGCUUGCAAGUUUUCCAGACUAGACUUCUUAUGGAGUUUUGAACCCAAUGGCUGAUGAUGGACUUCUAUUAAUGAGAUAACAGGCUGUUGAGAUAGCUUCAACCCAAAAACUCCUUGGUAAUUAAUAAUUGAUCAAUAAGCAUCUUGUCUUAUAAACAAGGGUUCUGUUCAUCUUUUCAACUAAGCCAUUUUGCUGAGGGGUGAGCCUUACCGUCUUAUGCCUCUUAAUCCCUCAUUCUUGAUAAAAAAAAAACUUUAAACUCUUUAUUACAGAAUUCAAGUUCAUUGUCUGUCCUAAGGCAUUUCACUUUGAAACCAUAUUGAGCCUCCACCAAAGCCUUCAAGACUUUAAACUUUUCAAAGACUUGAUCUUUGGUUUUCAAAUAUAUAUACCCAAACCUUUCUGGAGUAAUCAUUUAUCACAGAUAUAAAGUACUUUCCACCACUUAGAGAAGAGACCUGACCAGGCGCUCAAAGAUCAGCAUGCACAUAGUCUAAAGGUUGUUUAGACACAUGCAUCCCUUUAGUAAAUUUGACAUGUGUGCUUUGCUAAAAAUACAGUUUUCACAUAAGUCUAACUCAAUUAUUUUGUCACCACAGAGCAACCCUUGAAUACUUAAUUUUUGCAUUCCCCUAAUACUCAUAUGGUCAGGUCUAAGAUGUCAUAACAUAGUUCUAUCAAGCUCAGAAAUAGUUGUCAUUAUAGUUGACACAAGCACUGAUGAUCCUUCUAAUAUAUAAAGACCAUUUUUCUUAAUCCCUUUCAUUACCAUCUCAGUCCUUUUCAUAAUCUUUAAACCACUAUUUUCAAAUUUGAAGAAGUAUCAUGUACUAUCCAGCAUGCCUAAAGAGAUUAAGUUCCUCUUUAGCCUAGGUGUAUGUCUCACAUCACAUAGAGUUAUAACAAUCCCAUCAAACAUCUCUAUUUUGAUAAACCCUAUACCAAAAAUCUUACACACAUUGUUGUUUCCCAUCAAAACUCUACCACUAUCCACAUAUUCAUACUCAUAAAAAAAACUUCUAUCAGGACACAAAUGAAAGGAACAAUCUAAAUCAAGGACCUAAUAACCUCUAAUGUUGUUGUUUAAGGCUACCAACAAGUCAGCACUAUGGUAUCCAUCAUCAGAUAAAUCAUCUGAGGCCACUGCUGCAUCUCAUAUUCUCUCUUUAUCAUAUUUCUUUUUCUCAGAACAAUCUCUAAUGUAAUGGCCUUGUUUCUUACAGUAAAAACACUUCCUCUUCUUCAUUUUUUUUCUUUUGCAGAUCUAUCAAAAUUGUACGUGAAAAGUUCUCAUUUAUCCUUUAAUAAUGCAUAUUUUUUGUCACUGUUUAAAAGUUGGAACAAAAUGAGUAAUAAAUUUCAUUGGAACUCAAGUUGUAAAAAUAAAUUAUAAGAUAGAUCGAGCAUCAUUCUCCCUAAUUUUAAUUAAUAGAUCAAACUUUUUCUUCUGGAUAAUUAUUUCGAGGAAUAGUAUCCUUAGCUCGUUUACGUAGGCAACAAGUUAGCAUAACCUACAUAUGAAACAAUAUCUUCUAAAGACUUGAAAAUUCUCGUAAGCAAGAAGUUAGCAUAACCUACAUAUAAAACAAUAUCUUUUAAAGACUUGAAAAGUCUAGUCAAUUUUCUAAACUUUCAUUCUUGAACGAUGUCUAUUUUCUUAUAGGUAAACUCAAGGGACAUUUUCUUUAAAAAAAGUUGAUAAAACAAAUAUGAAAUUGAAUUAAAUUCUCAUAAUUAGAACCGAAGCAGAAAAAAAAUGACGUUAUUUUAUAUUUAAGUAAUGCUACAUAGCAUGAUCUAAGAGAAUAUAAGAAAUUAAAUAAAAAAUAUUAAAUUUUGUAAAAAAAUUAAAAAAUUUUAUAAAUAUUUAAAGGACCAAACUAAAUCGAAAAUCUUAGUUCUAAUUCUAUUCCUAUUGAUUUUUCAAGAAUUCAGUACUGAACCAAACUAAAGUUUUGGAUUCGGCCCAAUACCUAAUCAAAUCGUCUCAUUGCCCACCCUUAAGUAAAUUAUUGUUUAUAUAUAGCUUGUUGCAAAAUAAUAAUCAUAUAGGAUUCAAUUACUUUGAAACAAUUGCAACAUGUGUCAAAUUUUUUCAUUAUGAUACUUCAGCUGUAUACAUGAAAAAGUAGUUUCAACGGUAGGAUGUUGUUAUUUGGUUAUUAACAUUAUACCCUCUAAAACAUAUUUCAGAACUUAAAAACAAUCCGGCCCAAAUUCCAAAUCUCUCUCUUCUUCUCAAAAUCAUCUUCAUCUCAUCUCACCUUCAUUUCAUCUUGUUCCCUAAUUGUCGCCCAAAUUCUCGUCUUGUUCUUGUUCAUUUACAACUGAAUUUGAUUUAGCAUUAUUAUUUGUGGAACUUUCAAAUUAAAUUGACCAAAAGUGACUGUUCCUUUGGGGGCGGACCCAGGCCUCGAAAAUUUUUGCUUAAACCCCUUAAUUUUUUAUAAUUUUUCAUAAAACAAUAUUUAUUUUACUUUUAAAUAUGUCCCCAAUUCAACCUUUUUUUUUUCUUCAAUUAGAGUUAGAGAUUAUAUAUUUAUUGAAUAAAUUGAAAUCAUCAGAAGUUUAAAGACUUAGCACUGCUUUACCUUAUUAUAAAAAAUAUUAUAAUUUGGUCUAAUUGAAAAAAAAAAUGUCAAUAGAUUAUAAUAUUAUCACUAUGAGUAAUUUUAAUCUUAUAAUAAGAGAAUCUUUUACUUUAGGGAAAAAGAUACCUACAUCCUCAAGGUUUAGAGAAAUGGUUAUGUAGAUCUAAAAUUUUUAAUAAAAGAUACCAAGACCCACUUUUGAUUAUAAUACCAUUUAGCACUAUUAACUCAAAAUUUUUUUGUAAGGUUGUCCUACUAUCUUAGUAUGUUAAAUUUGUUGGAAAAAAUCCAAUACUAUUGGGUUAUGUGACAGAAUAAUAAGUCUCUAAAUGGUAUGAUUGAGGUGGUGCGAUGAUCCGACACAAAUAUUUCUUGUCAAACAAAGGGUUCAAAGCCAUAAAAUUAGUAGAGUAAAUGCAAUAAAAUAAUGUUAUUCAUAAAGCUGAAGUUUUAUGCUCCUCCAAAAUUGAUUUAGCUUACUGGCAACCCCGAUAAAAGCUGCCCGGUGCCGGCUAUCAGCCAUCUUUAUAAAUGUGUUGAUUUAUUUAAUAAAUUGAAAAUACAUAAGAAAGUAAGGAGGCCAAAUAAAAUUUAGUAUUGCAAAAGAUUGAAAAAAAGGCGCCACUGUGAUACUACGGUACGAAAGUUGUCGCGCAGUUUCCUUUGUCCUAAUCUCUAACACGAUUCUUCUCAUAAUUCCAUGGAAACAUUGUCUUGUUCUGAACCAAUUAUUGUUGUCAAAUACUUUGUUACAUUCUUUUUAUGAUACACAUAUUAUCAAAAUAUUUGUUACAUUUAUUAAGUUAUUAAUUCAUCAUAUUUUUUAAGUCCUAUGUUACAAAUAUUAUGUUAUGAAAAAGCUGGGUUACUUAAAGUUGGUGUCCAAUCCGACACUCAAUCAAUCACUAAAGCUAGUAUUGCUCUUUGUAUAAAGUUAGUUUCUUUUUUCACUGACAAACAUCUAUCAUAUUGCUUUUCCUAAAAAAGCCAAAGCUAAAUCAAGGUGGAGUUUCUCCAAGAAGCAUAAUUAAUCACAAACCAUAUAAGCAAUAAAAUAUGGUCGGCAACACCCUUUUAUUUCUUCAAUUUAUUUUGUUUUAGGUACAUGAAACCACCCUAUUUUAUAAAAUUACACCACAUUAGGAACACACUUUUAUUUCUUCAAUUUAUUUUGUUUUCGAUACAUGAAACCACCCUAUAUUAUAAAAUUACGCCACAUUAUUUCCACAAGCCAGUGAAGUAUCGGCGAAAACAUCUUAACAAUAGAGAUUUGGGCCAGGAGCAACACCAAAUUUGUUGCAAUAAUCCUUAUAAUAUCCGUUGCGAGCUUGAACCUGAGCAGGUUGCUUGCCACCGCAUUCAAUGGCUCCAUUGAUUCUCUGAAUUGUUGCACCAAAACCUUGGUUCAUAACUGGGUGCACAUAGGUCAUCCAAAACCACAAGGCAGUCUUAAAUGACACAACGGGGUCCCUGGCCACCGUU